AAUCUUCCACAAUGGACGAAAGUCUGAUGGAGCAAUGCCGCGUGAGUGAAGAAGGUUCACGGAUANUAAAGCUCUGUUGUAAGGGANAAACAAGUACAGGAGUAACUGUCUGUACCUUGACGGUACCUUACCAGAAAGCCACGGCUAACUACGUGCCCGCAGCCGCGGUAAUACGUAGGUGGCAAGCGUUGUCCGGAAUUAUUGGGCGUAAAGCGCGCGCAGGCGGUCCUUUAAGUCUGAUGUGAAAGCCCACGGCUCAACCGUGGAGGGUCAUUGGAAACUGGAGGACUUGAGUACAGAAGAGGAAAGCGGAAUUCCACGUGUAGCGGUGAAAUGCGUAGAGAUGUGGAGGAACACCAGUGGCGAAGGCGGCUUUCUGGUCUGUAACUGACGCUGAGGCGCGAAAGCGUGGGGAGCAAACA
rnacentral:rRNA from 1 species